rnacentral:rRNA from 1 species
UACGAAGGGGGCUAGCGUUGUUCGGAAUUACUGGGCGUAAAGGGCGCGUAGGCUGUGCUGUAAGUCAGGCGUGAAAUCCCCGGGCUCAACCUGGGAAUUGCGCAUGAUACUGCGGCGCUUGAAGACGGGAGAGGAUGGCGGAAUUCCCAGUGUAGAGGUGAAAUUCGUAGAUAUUGGGAAGAACACCAGUGGCGAAGGCGACUUUCUGGCUCGAUACUGACGCUAAGGCGCGAAAGCGUGGGGAGCAAACAGG